AACGAACGCUGGCGGCAUGCCUAACACAUGCAAGUCGAACGAGACCUUCGGGUCUAGUGGCGCACGGGUGCGUAACGCGUGGGAACCUGCCCUUAGGUUCGGAAUAACUCCCCGACAGGGGUGCUAAUACCGGAUAAUGUCUUCGGACCAAAGAUUUAUCGCCUUUGGAUGGGCCCGAGUUGGAUUAGCUAGUUGGUAGGGUAAAAGCCUACCAAGGCGACGAUCCAUAGCUGGUCUGAGAGGAUGAUCAGCCACACUGGGACUGAGACACGGCCCAGACUCCUACGGGAGGCAGCAGUGGGGAAUAGUGGAAAAUGGGCGGAAGGCUGAUCCAGCAAUGCCGCGUGAGUGAUGAAGGCCUUAGGGUUGUAAAGCUCUUUUACCCGGGAUGAUAAUGACAGUACCGGGAGAAUAAGCUCCGGCUAACUACGUG
rnacentral:rRNA from 1 species